GGGUUGUGAGGUUAAGCGACUAAGCGUACACGGUGGAUGCCUAGGCAGUCAGAGGCGAUGAAGGGCGUGCUAAUCUGCGAAAAGCGUCGGCAAGGUGAUAUGAACCGUUACACCCGACGAUACCCGAAUGGGGAAACCCAGUGUGUUUCGACACACUAUCAUGACAUGAAUACAUAGUGUCAUGAGGCGAACCGGGGGAACUGAAACAUCUCAGUACCCCGAGGAAAAGAAAUCAACCGAGAUUCCCCCAGUAGCGGCGAGCGAACGGGGAGGAGCCCAGAACCUGAAUCGGCUUGUGUGUCAGUGGAAGCGUCUGGAAAGUCGCACGAUACAGGGUGACAGUCCCGUACACGAAGAUGCACAGACCGUGAGUUCGAUGAGUAGGGCGGGACACGUGGUAUCCUGUCUGAACAUGGGGGGACCAUCCUCCAAGGCUAAAUACUCCUGACUGACCGAUAGUGAACCAGUACCGUGAGGGAAAGGCGAAAAGAACCCCGGCGAGGGGAGUGAAAUAGAACCUGAAACCGUGUACGUACAAGCAGUGGGAGCCUUGAUUUAUCAGGGUGACUGCGUACCUUUUGUAUAAUGGGUCAGCGACUUAUAUUCUGUAGCAAGGUUAACCGUAUAGGGGAGCCGCAGGGAAACCGAGUCUUAACUGGGCGUUAAGUUGCAGGGUAUAGACCCGAAACCCGGUGAUCUAGCCAUGGGCAGGUUGAAGGUUGGGUAACACUAACUGGAGGACCGAACCGACUAAUGUUGAAAAAUUAGCGGAUGACUUGUGGCUGGGGGUGAAAGGCCAAUCAAACCGGGAGAUAGCUGGUUCUCCCCGAAAGCUAUUUAGGUAGCGCCUCGUGAACUCAUCUUCGGGGGUAGAGCACUGUUUCGACUAGGGGGCCAUCCCGGCUUACCAACUCGAUGCAAACUACGAAUACCGAAGAAUGUUAUCACGGGAGACACACGGCGGGUGCUAACGUCCGUCGUGAAGAGGGAAACAACCCAGACCGCCAGCUAAGGUCCCAAAGUCAUGGUUAAGUGGGAAACGAUGUGGGAAGGCACAGACAGCCAGGAUGUUGGCUUAGAAGCAGCCAUCAUUUAAAGAAAGCGUAAUAGCUCACUGGUCGAGUCGGCCUGCGCGGAAGAUGUAACGGGGCUAAACCAUGCACCGAAGCUGCGGCAGCGACGCUUAGGCGUUGUUGGGUAGGGGAGCGUUCUGUAAGCCGUUGAAGGUGGACUGUGAGGUCUGCUGGAGGUAUCAGAAGUGCGAAUGCUGACAUAAGUAACGAUAAUGCGGGUGAAAAACCCGCACGCCGGAAGACCAAGGGUUCCUGUCCAACGUUAAUCGGGGCAGGGUGAGUCGACCCCUAAGGCGAGGCUGAAAAGCGUAGUCGAUGGGAAACAGGUUAAUAUUCCUGUACUUGGUGUUACUGCGAAGGGGGGACGGAGACGGCUAUGUCAUCCGGGCGACGGUUGUCCCGGUUUAAGCGUGCAGGUGGGUGGACCAGGCAAAUCCGGUCCGCUGUCAACACUGAGGCGUGAUGACGAGGCACUACGGUGCUGAAGUGACAGAUGCCCUGCUUCCAGGAAAAGCCUCUAAGCAUCAGGUAACAUUGAAUCGUACCCCAAACCGACACAGGUGGUCAGGUAGAGAAUACUCAGGCGCUUGAGAGAACUCGGGUGAAGGAACUAGGCAAAAUGGUGCCGUAACUUCGGGAGAAGGCACGCUGGGCGCGGUGAAGUCCCUCGCGGAUGGAGCUGAGCCCAGUCGCAGAUACCAGCUGGCUGCAACUGUUUAAUAAAAACACAGCACUGUGCAAACACGAAAGUGGACGUAUACGGUGUGACGCCUGCCCGGUGCCGGAAGGUUAAUUGAUGGGGUUAUCCGCAAGGAGAAGCUCUUGAUCGAAGCCCCGGUAAACGGCGGCCGUAACUAUAACGGUCCUAAGGUAGCGAAAUUCCUUGUCGGGUAAGUUCCGACCUGCACGAAUGGCGUAAUGAUGGCCAGGCUGUCUCCACCCGAGACUCAGUGAAAUUGAACUCGCUGUGAAGAUGCAGUGUACCCGCGGCAAGACGGAAAGACCCCGUGAACCUUUACUAUAGCUUGACACUGAACCUUGAACCUUGAUGUGUAGGAUAGGUGGGAGGCUGAGAAAUGUGGACGCCAGUCUGCAUGGAGCCAACCUUGAAAUACCACCCUUUAAUGUUUGAUGUUCUAACGUGGACCCGUAAUCCGGGUUGCGGACAGUGUCUGGUGGGUAGUUUGACUGGGGCGGUCUCCUCCCAAAGAGUAACGGAGGAGCACGAAGGUUAGCUAAUCCUGGUCGGACAUCAGGAGGUUAGUGCAAAGGCAUAAGCUAGCUUGACUGCGAGAGUGACGGCUCGAGCAGGUGCGAAAGCAGGUCUUAGUGAUCCGGUGGUUCUGAAUGGAAGGGCCAUCGCUCAACGGAUAAAAGGUACUCCGGGGAUAACAGGCUGAUACCGCCCAAGAGUUCAUAUCGACGGCGGUGUUUGGCACCUCGAUGUCGGCUCAUCACAUCCUGGGGCUGAAGUAGGUCCCAAGGGUAUGGCUGUUCGCCAUUUAAAGUGGUACGCGAGCUGGGUUUAGAACGUCGUGAGACAGUUCGGUCCCUAUCUGCCGUGGGCGUUGGAAGAUUGAGGGGGGUUGCUCCUAGUACGAGAGGACCGGAGUGAACGCACCGCUGGUGUUCGGGUUGUCAUGCCAAUGGCACUGCCCGGUAGCUACGUGCGGAAGAGAUAACCGCUGAAAGCAUCUAAGCGGGAAACUUGCCCCGAGAUGAGUCUUCCCUGGGCCCUUGAGGCCCCUGAAGGGACGUUUAAGACUAAGACGUUGAUAGGCUGGGUGUGUAAGCGUAGCGAUACGUUGAGCUAACCAGUACUAAUGACCCGAGAGGCUUAACCUUACAACACCGAAGGUGUUU
rnacentral:rRNA from 3 species